AGAUUCCAACUUCCUGGGCAGAGGGUCAUGUAGUGGAAUAGAGCUGUACCUGGCUUCAGGCGAGACUUGGAAGUGCCUUUCGCCUCCCGCCAUGAUUCUGAGGCCUCCCCAGCCAUGUGGAACUAGCUCAAAACUUUCAGUAGGACAGCCAGGCGCGGUGGCUGAUGCCUGUAAUCCCAGCACUUUGGGAGGCCGAGGUGGGCGGAUCACGAGAUUCUUGUGCUGUCACUCAGGCUGGAGUGCAACGUUGAAAUCUCGGCUCACUGCAACUUCUGCCUCCCGGAUUCAGGCAAUUCUUGUGUCUCAGCCUCCUAAGAAGCUGAGAUUACAGCAACUCCAAAAUGGAAGUACUAUUGUUAUCUCCGUUUACAAAUUAGGAAACUGAGGCACAGAUAUGCUCUUGGGUACUUGUCAGCAGCAGUUGUUCUACAAGCUAAAUAUCUGGAUAUCUUAAAUCUCAGAUGAGCGUCUUAGCCUCUGGAUUACUGCUCAAUGAGGAAAGCUAUGAAAUGCAUGGAUAACUUGCUAAUCAGUAUUUGCCAUAUGUGCUAGCAGCAUCAGCAUCAGUUGGGAGAUUAUGGUGGCCUCCAUGUCAGACCUCCUAAAUCGGAAUAUCAGAGAAGGUGGCCCAGGUUACCAUGCUUCAUCUGCCAAUGCAUUGAAAACUUGGAAUGUAAAUUAAUUCAACCAUUGUGGAAGAUGGUGUAGUGAUUCCUCAAAGACCUAGAAGCAGAAAUAUCAUUUGAUCCAGAAAUCCCAUUACUGUGUAUACACCCAAAGGAAUAUAAACCAUUCUAUUACAAAGAU
ensembl:lncRNA novel transcript